rfam:Dipodomys ordii contig_44100, whole genome shotgun sequence.
GGAAGGUGGCUCAGUGGUAGAGUGCUUGCCUUUUAUGCAUGAGACCCUGGGUUCGAUUCCUCAGCCCCA